rnacentral:lncRNA from 1 species
CCGGGCCCCACCGCGGCUCAGUCCCACUCCUCCAGGGACGAGGGAUUGGGGACCUGACCGCACGGGGAGCCCAGAGCGUCUCGCGCCGUUGAGCACAGUCGCUGGCACGCACCCAAAGGGAUGUCAUCACGACCAAGCGGCCCCGGCAGAGCCUGGGCCACCACUGCCACCGUGCCCCACUUCAAGCCUUGACUCCGAGGUCAAAUGUCCCGAACUCGGAGGGCACAAGGAGCCCUCCCGCUGCCAUAAGGAGACGCGGUCCCCUCAGAUCCCACGGCCCCUCCCCUGGGAUGGGUACGCACCCCCGGAUCCCGCGUAGAGACUCGAGGAAAGCUAGGUGGCGGGGGUCGCGGGGCUCUGCGUAUCCCCCCUCAACCAGCGUCGCAGACAAGGGGAGACUCAGCAGUCUGUCAACUCUGGAGCCCCCCCGCAGCCCCACGCGUUUACCAGGUAGGAUGAAAUGGACUAACUCCAACCGAACGGACAGACUUCUGGUGUCCGCUCGCGGCAGUAAUAUAAAAACACUACAUGCCCACCUUCACAAUGGCCACACACACCGGGCCAAGCGAGUCAACAACAUUCCAAACAGGCUGUCCCACGCACAUCAGCGUCCAACCGCGUCAUCCACACGUGUCAACAUGUUCUUGUAAACACGGGUCCUGAUUUGCCCCUUGAAUUGGACGAUUGGUUUCUGGGAGCCACACCUACC